UUGUUGUUGUUGCUGUUGUUGUUAUUGUUGUUGUUGCUGUUGUUGUUGUUACUGUUGUUGUUGUUGUUGUUGUUGUUGCUGUUGUUAUUUUAAACAAAUUCACUUCGAACAAGGCUAAUUACAACAAUUAUGUUGAAAGUUAACAGAAAGUCAAGGUUAAAGUUUAAGAACAAGAAAGCACUUGACAGAAAAUUUAAAAAACUGCAAAUCGUAUGAAAACAUGAUGGAAGAAUAUACCAAAGUAAAGAUUUUCGGAAAAACUAGAUGAAUGUGUCCCAAAAAGUCUUAACGGUCUUAUCACAGAGCACCGCGGAAGUGCAUAAUGAGACGCGAAAUAGUUCCAAAGCUUGUUUCGAACCUGGAUCUUCUGCUUAUAAAGCAAGCGCUCUAACCACUGCACCACGGCCACACGAUAUUUACACUCGACACAUUUGUCGGCCGCCGACACACCACGACCAUACCACAUUUACAUUCGAAUGUGCAUUAUGUACUAAAUACCCAAACUUGUUUAUUUAAACCAGGCAUCAAUUACUCUAGUAUUCAUAAUAAGAGCGUAUUUAGCUUAUAUUGGAAGCUUCUUUAUAUUAACUAAGAUUUUUUAAACUUCAUUAAAUUUUUUUUUUUAAUUUUUUUGCGUAAGGAAAUUGUUUCACUAAAUUAUAUAUUAAUCAAACCAUUUUCAUUUGGGUGAAGUUUAUAUAUGGAACAAUGACGGGUCCAGGAUUUUUUGGUUGAGGAAUGAGGGGGGGGGGGAGAGGAGAUGUUGAAAUAUUUUUGUACUAUGAAUCACAUUUGUGUCUCCUAAAAAAAAAAAGUAUUCCAUUUCUAAAAUAAUUUAGGGCUUUCAGAUUUUGGUGGGGGGAGGGAUGCAUAACGCCAAUCCGUCACUGAUAUUAAACUAUCUCUAGAAAUUAUAAUAUAUCUAGAUAUAGGUCCAUACAUUAUUAUGAAUAGAUUUUCAAUGAUAUACAAACAGGUAGAUAUUAUUUCUAUGUAUAUCCAAUUAAUAAAAAUGAAAUAUAAUUUAUAUCAAGUUUGUUACUAACAAAUAAAUCCGUAACGAAAAUAUUGAUAAUGUGAAAAGCUUUUUAUAUUUUAAUCACCAAAUUUUUCUCAUUAUCUUUCGAAUAUUGUAAAUCAUCGUGUUGUAAGAAAAGAAUUGUUCUCUCUUUCUACUAAUUUAUUCAAAUUUAUAGACAAAAACUAUACUUGUUAAAAAAAAUUUUUUUAAGAAAAGUACCAGAUUGUUUCUCUAACUUAAUAAAAAAUUUCAUUAAAGUUAAAACAAUGGUUCAUUAAAAACACACAACAACAAACAUAUUUUUUAUAUUUACAUAAUUUAUAUAAAUACAUUGUUCAAUAUAUAUUUUAUUGUAAAACUAUUCACAAAAAUAUUUGGUUAAUUUUAGCCCCCUAAAAAAUUAACGAAACCCCGUGACUUUGGAAUCUGAUUUGUUUUGACCUUCUGCUUUCAAAAUGUCUGCAAUGUAUUUUUUGUCAAGUUUUUUAAGAAUUUUAAUUUUUUUUUUAGUAAAAUAGAAGUAAAAGCCGUAUGAUAAAUUUUAUUUUCGAAACAAAAUUUACGUGUAGUAAGUCUUUCAAAGUUUAAGUUAUCUACAGUUAAAUAAUUUAUAAAUCUAAGCAAAAAUCGUUGAUCUAUACUUUUGAAGGCUUUCUUGAGUGCACUUUCUUUUCUUAAAGUUUGAGGGCUUUCUUGAGUGCACUUUCUUUUCUUAAAGUUUGAGGGCUUUCUUGAGUGCACUUUCUUUUCUUAAAGUUUGGUAUAUAAAAAAAAAAAAGUUUGCUCAAACGCCACAAGUUUCUGGUUAAAAAGAGUUAUCAAGGGUAAACAUAACGGUAACAAAAAAAAAAAAAAACCGUUAAAAGUGUUUUUUGCAAUCAGUGGUAUGCCAGAAUAUGAAGAGCUUUUUUAUUUUUUUUCCCCUAAACUUAUCUUUCGAUAAAAUAACUAAUUUGUUCUUAUUAUUUUAAUGUUAAAUAAAGAAAUAUUUACCUAUCAAUUUCUAAAACCUUUAAAAUAUUCAAAUGAUUUAAAAUAAAAUUGUUUCGUUUGAUUGUUUGUUUUUUAAAAAGGAGAAACUGUUUAACAGACAGAUCAAAGAAUAACAAUCUACAAAUCUUUUUAUAUAUAAUGAGUCUAUAUAUAAAGGUUAUAAACCAUAGCAAACGUAGGUUCAAAUACAUUAAUCAAUUUUAUACCUUUUAUUAAAUUUUUAGCAUGUUUGUAUUUAUUUCUAGCGUACACACCCGAUACAACUUAAAAAGACAUUUAACUCACAAAACAUGCUUGCAGUAUCGUAUACUAUACUAUUCUAAAAGAAUAUUUUGAAAGCUACAUGUUUUUUAAGUUGUGUAAGGUGUGUACUUGCCCGUAAGAUAUUUGCAUUGUUGAUGAAAUAAUGAAUUAGUUCAAAAUUUGUUAGAAACUGUGGGUUCACGUUCAUGUGCGAACGCGCAGUUUAUAACAACAUAAUUGUUUGAUAGUAAUUGACUCAAAAUAUUUAAAUUUGGUUAACAAGAAUAAAUUUUUAUCAACGAGAAUUCCAUACUUGUUUUUUAAUAAACUUAUUGUUUAUUAUUAAUUAUAACGUUCAAGGUAAAAUCACGAAAAUUUAAAAUAAAGGUUUUCUUAUUUUGAAUUAUUAUAAAAUACUGUCAAACUCAUUUUCUUAACGUUAAUUAAGAGUUUGUAGGAGAUUUAUCUACUUCAACCUGAUUGUUUACUUAAUAUAGUUUAAGAACGAAAUAAAUUUUGACGAGAUUGAUAUCAAUCACUUUAUUGAUGUCUCUAUUGAUGAUAUAGUAGAAAAA
rnacentral:lncRNA from 1 species